AAACAAAGAAGAAAAAGGGUUAAAAAAGAGAGUAAAUAUGACUUACGUAACACACAUACAAACUUGCAAUACACCAGUGACUAGCUCAUUGAUGUUUCUUUCGACCUUCAGUCAGUGUUAGACUCACCUGGGCGCAACACCACCACCACCACCACCACACACCACCGCGCACCACACUACCCCCAGCUGGUGCCAUUUCCUGGAGUCCCACAAGGAAUGGGCGUAGUGGUGGUCACAGGGGGGCUGGGUACAUAGGGUCCCAUGCUACCUUAUGCCUACUACGCGCUGGAUAUCAGGUCGUAGUUAUUGACAAUUGCUCAAACUCACACCCACCCCGCCCCCCUCCGUGCUGCCCCCUCCCUGGAGCGUGUGCUGGAGGUGCUGAAGGAGGAGGAAGAGGAAGAGGAGGAGGAAGAGGAGGAGGAAGAGGAGGAGGGAAGAGGAAAGAACAAUCUCUUCUUUCAUCUUGUUUGUUUGAAGGAAAAAGAAUCCGUGAUGAAAGUAUUUGAACAGUACAAGGUGGAGGUGGUUGUUCACUUCGCCGCCUCGAAAUCUGUGGGUGAGAGCGCGCGCGCGCCCCUACCUUACUACCACAACAACCUGUUAAGUACAAUUAAUCUACUGCAGGUAAUGGAGGAGAGUGGGUGCAGGAAACUCGUGUUUUCCUCUUCUUCAACUGUGUACGGUUCUGCCUCGAGUUUCCCCACUGACGAAGGGGACCCCGCUGGGAGAAGCCUGGCGAGUCCCUACGGGCGCUCUAAGUUCUUCUGUGAGGGACUCUUGAGGGACGUAGCAGCAGCAGACCAGGACUGGCGAAUCAUCAUCCUACGCUACUUCAACCCAGGGGGCGCUCAUCCCUCGGGUCUUCUGGGGGAGAGCACGAGGAGCGGCGCCCCCCUUAACCUCCUCCCUAGACUGGCGGAGGUAGCAGCGGGGGAGAGGGGGGCGGUGCACGUGUAUGGGGGGGACUGGCCUACCCCUGACGGCACGUGCAUUAGAGACUACAUGCACGUGCUGGAUCUGGCGGAGGGGCACGUGGCAGCGGUACGGAAGGCUGCAGAAGGAGGAGGAGGAGGAGGAGGAGGAGGAGGAGGAGGAGGAGGAGGAGGAGGAGGAGGAGGAGGAGGAGGAGGAGUUUUUACAUAUAAUUUAGGAAGAGGCAAAGGUGUUUCGGUUCUUCAAAUGAUAAAGGAGUUUUCAAGGGCGUGUGGGAAAAGCAUACCGUACCACGUGACAGAGCGCAGGCGCGGUGGACGUCAUGCGCACUACAUGUUCUGGGAGACUUGCGCAGAAGGAACUUGAUUGGAACCCACUGCGAACCCUGCAAGAUAUAUGUGUGGAUGCGUGGAGGUUUAAAGUGAGGAACCCGCACGGCUACUAAUUCUCCACCGCACCGCCACGCCCACAGUACUCUCUCUCUCUCUCUCUCUCUCUCUCUCUCUCUCUCUCUCUCUCUCUCUCUCUCUCUGUAUACUUAUAAAUUUAGGAGGCAGUGGUGCUAAAUCUGUAAUGUACGGAUAGUAGUAGUAGUAGUAGUGGUAGUAGUAGUACCUGAGCCGAGACGGGACCACAAGCAUUACCCACCACCACCACUACUACUAUUACUACUACUACCACUCAUAUAAUAAGUUCAGUAAAAGGGACCAAUGUUUUUCGCACUCUGAAUAAGUAAAUAGAUAAAAUACCAUUGAAAUAAACACAGAAAUAAUAA